rnacentral:rRNA from 1 species
CGGGUGAGUAACACGUGAGUAACCUGCCCUUCACUCUGGGAUAACUCCGGGAAACCGGGGCUAAUACUGGAUAUGACUCGAACAGGCAUCUCUAUCGUGUGGAAAGUUUUUCGGUCUGGGAUGGACUCGCGGCCUAUCAGCUAGUUGGUGAGGUAACGGCUCACCAAGGCGACGACGGGUAGCCGGCCUGAGAGAGCGACCGGCCACACUGGGACUGAGACACGGCCCAG